rnacentral:rRNA from 1 species
UACGUAGGGGGCAAGCGUUGUCCGGAUUUAUUGGGCGUAAAGAGCGUGUAGGCGGCCUGACAGGUCUGCUGUGAAAACUCGAGGCUCAACCUCGAGAUGUCGGCGGAAACCGUCUGGCUAGAGUCCGGAAGAGGAGAGUGGAAUUCCUGGUGUAGCGGUGAAAUGCGCAGAUAUCAGGAAGAACACCUAUGGCGAAGGCAGGUCUCUGGGCCGAUACUGACGCUGAGGAGCGAAAGCGUGGGGAGCGAACAGG